AUUGAACGCUGGCGGAAUGCUUUACACAUGCAAGUCGAACGGCAGCACGGGGCAACCUGGUGGCGAGUGGCGAACGGGUGAGUAAUACAUCGGAACGUGCCCAAUCGUGGGGGAUAACGUAGCGAAGUUACGCUAAUACCGCAUACGAUCUACGGAUGAAAGCGGGGGAUCGCAAGACCUCGCGCGAAUGGAGCGGCCGAUGUCAGAUUAGGUAGUUGGUGGGGUAAAGGCUCACCAAGCCAACGAUCUGUAGCUGGUCUGAGAGGACGACCAGCCACACUGGAACUGAGACACGGUCCAGACUCCUACGGGAGGCAGCAGUGGGGAAUUUUGGACAAUGGGCGCAAGCCUGAUCCAGCCAUUCCGCGUGCAGGAUGAAGGCC
rnacentral:rRNA from 1 species